UACGUAGGGGGCAAGCGUUGUCCGGAUUUAUUGGGCGUAAAGCGCUCGCAGGCGGCUCGAUGCGUCGUGCGUGAAACACCCCGGCUCAACUGGGGAGGGUCGUGCGAUACGGUCGGGCUGGAGGCCAGUAGGGGGAUGCGGAAUUCCGGGUGUAGUGGUGGAAUGCGUAGAGAUCGGCAGGAACACCCAGGGGGAAACCAGUGGACUGGGCAGGCGCUGACACUCAUGUGCGAAAGCGUGGGGAGCGAACCGG
rnacentral:rRNA from 1 species